rnacentral:rRNA from 1 species
AGAGUUUGAUCCUGGCUCAGAACGAACGCUGGCGGCAGGCUUAACACAUGCAAGUCGAACGCCCCGCAAGGGGAGUGGCAGACGGGUGAGUAACACGUGGGAACGUGCCCUAAGGUUUGGAAUAUUCCCGGGAAACUGGGAGCAAUACCAAAUGUGUCCGCAAGGAGAAAGUUUUAUCGCCUUAGGAUCGGCCCGCGUCAGAUUAGCUAGUUGGUGGGGUAAAAGCCUACCAAGGCGACGAUCUGUAGCUGGUCUGAGAGGACGACCAGCCACACUGGGACUGAGACACGGCCCAGACUCCUACGGGAGGCAGCAGUGGGGAAUCUUGGACAAUGGGCGAAAGCCUGAUCCAGCCAUGCCGCGUGGAUGAUGAAGGCCUUAGGGUUGUAAAAUCCUUUCGUUGGGGACGAUAAUGACGGUACCCAAAGAAGAAGCUCCGGCUAACUUCGUGCCAGCCGCCGCGGUAAUUC